GGAAAUUAACUAAAAAAUUGGAGGAUAUUUACAAAUUACGAGACAAGUAAAAACAUGGAACAUACCACGAGGAAAGCCACGGCGAGGAGGAGGCAGCGAUCUGAGCUGAGCUAAUGAACGGCCUUAAUCAAAAAGAAACUCGAAGUCGUGGCUUGUUUCUGGGCUUUCAUGUUUUUAAUGCAAUGUGGGCCCUCGCCAAUCUUAAAAAUAUUAUUAUAUUGAAAUUGUGGGCCGACUUUCAUCGGAAGCCUCAUCCAUCAUCACGGAGCACUCCAUGUGCCCCCAUCGACCCGAUCUUGGGGCGGAUAUGCAGGCUGUCGUGUC
rnacentral:lncRNA from 1 species